GACGAACGCUGGCGGCGGGCUUAACACAUGCAAGUCGAACGGAAAGGCCCUGCUUUUGUGGGGUGCUCGAGUGGCGAACGGGUGAGUAACACGUGAGUAACCUGCCCUUGACUUUGGGAUAACUUCAGGAAACUGGGGCUAAUACCGGAUAGGAUCUCCUGCUGCAUGGUGGGGGUUGGAAAGUUUCGGCGGUUGGGGAUGGACUCGCGGCUUAUCAGCUUGUUGGUGGGGUAGUGGCUUACCAAGGCUUUGACGGGUAGCCGGCCUGAGAGGGUGACCGGCCACAUUGGGACUGAGAGACGGACCAGACUCCUACGGGAGGCAGCAGUGGGGAAUAUUGCCCAAUGGGCGGAAGCCUGAUGCAGCAACGCCGCGUUCGGGAUGACGGCCUUCGGGUUGUAAACCGCUUUCGGCUGUGACGAAGCGUGAGUGACGGUAAUGGGUAAAGAAGCACCGGCUAACUACGUG
rnacentral:rRNA from 1 species